rnacentral:rRNA from 1 species
UACAGAGGAGCCAAGCGUUGUCCGGAUUGACUGGGCGUAGAGCGCACGCAGGCGGACGCGCGCGUGGGGUGUGAAAUCUGGCCGCUUAACGGCCAGGCGCCAUCCCAUACGGCACGCCUGGAGCCUUGCAGAGGUCGGUGGAAUUGCCGGUGUAGUGGUGAAAUGCGUAGAGAUCGGCAGGAACACCCAGGGGGAAACCAGCCGACUGGACCAGUUCCUGACACUGAGGCAGCGAAGGCCAGGGGAGCAAACCGGG